ensembl:snoRNA Gm25224 predicted gene, 25224
UUGAUCAGUGAUGACUCUGGUGGUGUGGGGGUCGUGAAGGAAUGCAUAUGUGGAAUUCUCAGGUCCAA